rnacentral:rRNA from 1 species
AUUGAACGCUGGCGGCAUGCCUUACACAUGCAAGUCGAACGGUAACAGGGAGCUUGCUCCGCUGACGAGUGGCGAACGGGUGAGUAAUGUAUCGGAACGUACCAUUCAGUGGGGGAUAACGUAGCGAAAGUUAACGCUAAUACCGCAUAUUCUGUGAGCAGGAAAGCAGGGGAUCGCAAGACCUUGCGCUGAUUGAGCGGCCGAUAUCAGAUUAGCUAGUUGGUGAGGUAAAGGCUCACCAAGGCGACGAUCUGUAGCGGGUCUGAGAGGAUGAUCCGCCACACUGGAACUGAGACACGGUCCAGACUCCUACGGGAGGCAGCAGUGGGGAAUUUUGGACAAUGGGGGCAGCCCUGAUCCAGCCAUGCCGCGUGAGUGAAGAAGGCCUUCGGGUUGUAAAGCUCUUUCGGCCGGGAAAAAAAUCGCAUCAGUUAAUACCUGGUGUGGAUGAUGGUACCGGAAUAAGAAGCACCGGCUAACUACGUG